UGAAUGAAGAGAUAAACAGAUAUCUCUUUAUUAUGACUAAAGAGAUAUUUGGAUGGAAACAUUAAAGUAAUAACUUUAGUGUGUUCCAUUAUGAAUGCAAGGUAUAUUGCCAUAUAGAAGUUUGCAACAAUGUUGUUUGGAUAGGAAAGUUCAUUUAUGAACUCUCUAUUCGGUUCCAACCAGAAAGUGUAUCUAGUGUACUGACACUAUGACACUAAUGGGGCGAUAGCUCAAGCCAGGGAAUCAAGGUCUCAUCAAGGUCCGAACUCAUAUGAGAGACUGAACCACAUGAUUAAGAAUCAUGUAUAAUGGUGACGUCGUUAUUCUCAAG
rnacentral:lncRNA from 1 species